AAGACUAUACUUUCAGGGAUCAUUUCUAUAGUAUGUUACUAGAGAAUUGUGGCUGAAAGUGUAUCACGGAGGUAACCACGAGGAGGAGCUGUAGUGUUCUCUUCUGAGCGUGAAGCUGGUUUGUGACUCUGCUUGUUGGCAGGUGUUACUUACCAUUGAUGAUCGUUCUUCCCUUCCUUCGGGAAGGGUGAGAGGAAGAGGACACAGGCUGAGUGA
rnacentral:snoRNA from 1 species